AUUCUUAUAGUUUAAUUUAAAAUAUAACGUUGAAAAUGUUGUGAUAUAGAAAUUAAGGAUGAAAA
rnacentral:tRNA from 1 species